rnacentral:lncRNA from 1 species
ACCAUAUUAUCUCUACUAUAGAGAUAAUUAAUUAGAUUACCAUAAUCCAAUCAUUGAUUAAUAAAGAACAAUGUUUUGUCAAACAAAACAUUUAUCCCUUUCACAUAGUGACGGAAUUUAGUUCCUUAAAAUUGGAAUGUAAAGACAAUCUUUGGUUUUUCCAAUUUCUUUGGUAGUUCAUAUGAGGAAGUAAGUACCAUCUGCUUUCGCAGAGAUCUACAUUUGAUUCACGUUUCGAAUGUGAAGUAUUUUCUCUUCUCUCAUUAAUCUUCUACUUCUUAUUAGCCACACUUUUACAACGAUUGUAAAACAUAGUUACUAAU